GAUGAAGAACGCAGCGAAAUGCGAUAAGUAAUGUGAAUUGCAGAAUUCAGUGAAUCAUCGAAUCUUUGAACGCACAUUGCUCCCGCCAGUAUUCUGGCGGGCAUGCCUGUUCGAGCGUCAUUUCAACCAUCAAGCCCCCGGCUUGUGUUGGGGACCUGCGGCUGCCGCAGGCCCUGAAAACCAGUGGCGGGCUCGCUGUCACACCGAGCGUAGUAGAUUUUCAUCUCGCUCAGGGCGUGCUGCGGGUUCCGGCCGUAAAAAGCCUUAUUUACCCAAGGUUGACCUCGGAUCAGGUAGGAAGACCCGCUGAACUUAAGCAUAUCAAUAAGCGGAGGA
rnacentral:misc_RNA from 1 species